rnacentral:lncRNA from 1 species
UAUAUAAGAGAGUCAUAUUUUAACGAAAUAUAGUUACAUGAUUAAAUAUUUCCAUAAUGAUCUAGAAAAAGUCCAACGAGUACAUACGAUACGAGAUAAUAAUCUUGAUCCUUAUAUAUUUAAAAACUAUCUUAUGCAUUCUUUGAGCUCUUCUGGAUUAUUUUCGGAGAAGAGACAUAGGCUUAUGGCCCUUUUCCUCUUUGCGAUUUAGAAGGCGGUAUAUAAAUCGGAGGAGGUAACCGAGGAGGUAAUUUGUUACCUACAUGAAAUUGAAUAAUUAAAAAAAAAAAAGAACAUACAUUAUAAAAAAUGUGAUGACAAAUAUAAUAAAAGAAUGAUAUGUAUACAUGAGAUGGCGCCCGUAAAGAGAUCUAUAUGGUCAUAUAUGCACGUUAUUGCAGGAUAUGAACCUUGAAAGUUGAGAGAUAGAAAAUAGAUGGAGAUAUACAUAAUUAAAAACAUUUUAUGAUAGUAAUAGAGUUUUUUUUUAGGUGAUAUUAAUAGAGUUCUAGGUAAUUUACUAAAAUUUUGGAUUAAACACUCCACUGUAAUCCUAAACACCCUCAAAAUUUACUAAAUUUUCGGAUAAAAUACUCCACUAUAAUCCUAAAUACCCUCAAUCGUGGGAGGUCAUUGAGAGGUUUUAUGUGUAUGCUUGCUUUUUAGAUUGAGAGAAUUGUGCUGGUAAAAGAAAAAUGGAAAUAUGAGAACGCAUGUAAAUGAGUAAAUAAUACUCACCACGUUUGUGGCGUUUGGCUUCGGCAACUCCAACUUGAGAAGAGACAAGUAAAAGCAGAAAAAACAAAGAAAAAAGAACCGUAACCAAAUUUGAUGUCUUUGUAGCCAU